AGAUAAAAGAUGGGUAAAUUUGAUUGCUGAUGGGAAUCAAAACCUUUGAAAGGAUUCUGCUUGAUGAAUAGAAAAGUCGAAAUAAUGAUCAUAAAAAAAAAUUGAAAAACGAAUGGUGGCGUUUCUUGGUUGAGAUUGAGGAGAACCUAAGGCAAAACCGAUCACAACCCUAGGCCUAAAAGAGAAAUGAGAGCUGAAGAUAGGGUUAUAUUUGCAAAAAUCUAUGCUGCUUUUGAUUGAUUGUUCUUUUUGUGUUGUGUGUGCACGAGAUUGAAUGAAUACAAAAGAGAAAAUAUUCUAUCAAUGG
rnacentral:misc_RNA from 1 species